AAUUUGCCACAACGAAGGAUCGCUGGCGGCAAACGCAUCUCCAAGUUAAGGGCACCAUGGAUAGUGUUUGUGCAAGGGAUCCACGCAGAAGGCACAGAGGGCAAUGUCGUUGCUUGCGGAGGUAGCAUUAUCACGCGAAACGUUGUGCUGACUGCUGCGCAUUGCCUCGAUUAUCCGGAAACGCCUAUAGACUGGGUAAGGAUAUUCUACAACACAACAAACGGGGCUCAGGGCCCCCGCCUUUACGCAGAGAAAAAAAUACUGCAUCCCUUAUACACACAGCGCGCUGGACUUGGC